CUGACAUCUUACCACCUGAUCACUGUGCUGUGCUUAAGACAGGCUCUCAUACAGAGAUGAGCAUUUUCAUUUUUCCAUUGCCAAAAUUAACUUUGCACCCAAUACGUUAGUAGAAAUGGAAGUACUGGGCCAAACUACCUCUAAGCACUCCUCACCCUCUCCUAUGGAUCCACUGCCUUCCCUGAACUCCAGCUGUCCUUAAAGUCUCCAAUAGGUCCUUGCUGAUGGGAGUAACGACAGCUGUAAGCUGUUGCUAUCCCUCCCAUGCCCUAACAAUCAGCAUCCAGUUCAUGGCCAAAAUAGAUGAUGGAGCUAAUGAGGACAUCUGCAUUCAUUUGGUGGUGACUGUCAGCUGUCACAGACAAGCCAAUCACAAACUGAACACUAUGAAGUGGAUUAGCUACACUGAGAAGCAAAGACAUUGUCUAUGGAUGAAAACAAUGAAUUCUUUGUUGAAGUUGCUCAAUGUACAUUCCUCUUUAUCUCCACAAGUCCCAGAGGAACAGCAGUGGAUUCCCUGCCUUACUUCAUCUCCUAGUCUGGUCCACUGUGUCUACCUUAUGCAUAAGAAGCAGCUCUGUUUCAUCACUACCAUCCUUUUCUGUUGAAAUUCUACAUCAUUAGGAGUGGUUAGCCAUUGAGUAGUAUCUACUUGCUGCAAAGCGCUUUGAUAUACUCUGCUGAAAUGGAGGAUGUAGAAAAAUCCUGCUGUCAGAAUGGAGUGAAGACUAAAAAACAUAAGGAGUGAUUCAAAUUUGGAAAAGAUUUCACUGAAGCUGGAUUUCUGCUGUUGUUACUCACUGCAGUAGUGUUUGAAAGUCUGACAAGUUGGAAAUCUGUUGUGCUGCUGAAGCUGUAUUGAUGCUGGACAGAAAGGUAUCCGUUGCACUGAAGUGUGUGUUUAAGCAACCAGGUUGGAGGUUCCAUUUGUUUGCUUGCUUUGGUGCUUUCCCUGGCUUUUUUUCUUCUUUCCUUAGUGGUGAUGUAAAUUUAUGUUGAAAGCACAUGUUGUAUUAAUCAUCUUGAAUACACUUAGAUGUUGUUAUCUGGACCCUCAUCCACUGAAGCUGUGGAAAGCUCUUGUUUCUCUUCUCUGUUAUGAAGCUAGUUCUCUGUUCUUUGACCAUCUUCCUUCCUGUUCUUAAACAUGUUCAAAAACCACGGUAAAUCCGAAUGAGAGCUAGUACCUUUGACCGAUGACUUGAGGAAGUCAUAUUUAAAAGAGUCAUAGCCUGACCUCCAAAACAGAACGGACAGAACGUGCCUUCUCAAAAGAACAUAAAAAAAGUUGUGGCUGUUUCACUGCAAGUGCUUAGUUUGUGCAUAUAAUUGCUCUGUGACAUUAGAGGCAAAAUCAGAAAACUGGAGAUACUAGUGGUAUUCCAGAAAUGACUGAGCCUGUUGUACUGGUACCGUUCAGCUUUACUAAAAUACUAUAUUGCCAGGAUUCAUCUGCUAGACAUGGUCUGAAGGUCAUUUAAGUUCUGGAGAUGAUAGAAGUAUUUUAAUCUGUCUUGGGGCAGAACUGGGUUUUAAAUGAUCUAAGGCCUUCCUUUCUGCAGUAUGGGGCCUUAGUUCCUUGCCCAAAUAUUUGGUGUGGAUUAUAUUUAAACUCUGUAGCCAGCUAAUAAAUUAUAUAGAGUUUCAUUUGUUUUUCAUAGCACCAUUGCUUUAGUCAAGGCCUGUGGGAUUCAGAAAGGGAAAUGUGUGAGUGCGUGUCACCACACACAUGUAUAGUGCGGGCAUGUGUAUGUAUACUGGUAAAGCUUGACUUGUAAUUUUGAGUGCUAUUGCUAUUAAUUUUUGAUCAGUGUAUAGAUAGUAAUAUAAACAAGUCCACAGAAUUUUUCCAUAAUGCAUAGAUGAGAGAAAAGCUUGUUUGUAGACAUGUUUUAUGCAGUGAAAAAGUUGAAAUUAAACUGCUUAGGACUUCAGAAAUUGUUUUUUCUACUUCUUCAGAAUCUGAAUAGCAAGGGUGAAAGGUGUUAAAGAUGUGUGCUUCUGUUUAUCUCAUUACAACUCUAAAUCCUGUCAAAAUAACUGAGUGAAUCGUUAUAUUAAAGUAUAUACUCAGCACUAUCUAUUCUGCAUUGUAGUUCAGUGAAUUCAGGAAAUGAAUUCCACUGAACAGAUCUCUACUGGUAAAAGUUUUACAUUUCAUCAGGUGAUGCUGUAUUUCCCUUAUAAUGUGAAAAUUACCCUGUGUUGGAUGGUGUUUCAUUCUCUUAAUAAGUAUUUUUUACUGGCUUAUCUACUUGUUUCUUUCCCCCUCAUUAAUACAGUAAAGAUUCUAUCUACUCUGUUAGUAACUAGGGUACAUCUAGAUGGUUGUGAAAGCUUCUGCUGGCCCUUCAGUCUUUUGUAAUUAAAAUGGUUUGGGUUUAGUGUCUUGUAAGUAGCUGGAGCGACCCUAAGCAUGCAAAGAAGGCAUAGAAAAUGAAGCAUCGAGGUGGUAGGGGGAAUUCAAUAAUCUAAUGAAUUAGAGAAGAAGAUGAGGAAAAUUAAUAUUAGUAGUGUCAGUUUUAUUACAGUUACUAUGUAUAGUUCAUUUUAGUUGGUAGAAUAUCUGGUACAGGCAGUAUCACAUCUGCGCAUGGAGUCAUAGAGGCAAAACUAUGUGUGCUGUGCCCUGAGGAACUUGCACUACAACACUGACAAUAAGGAGAGGAAAAGGAGAUAAUGCUGCUUCUGCUGUCACUUUAUGAUCCACUCCUCUCUCUUAAUUACAUAUGCAUCUGUGAGAGCAGUUUUGAUAAAUACUGAAAAUUAGCAGAGGAGGUUUAAAGACGCCUACAGACUAGGAAAAAAAUGCAACAGCUGUGACUUACACUUGCAUAAAAAAUUAGCACUAUCAUUUAUAAAAGGCUGUAUAAUACAAAAGGGCCAAACUAAGGCAGAAGGGGCAGUUCCACAGCUGGUGUAAGCCAGCAUGGCUUGUUGAUUUCAGUGAAGCUGAGUUGCUUGCUAUCAGGUAAGGCCCCAGAUGCCACACAGGUAUUAGGACAAUGUGUUUGAUGUCUCCUUUGAUUGAAUAAGUCUAAGUGCAUGAGUCAUUACUCAGAGUGCAGAAGAAAUUUGUUGUGAUUUCAAAAAUCACUUGCUUCCCCGUGAAAGUUCGCUGAAACACUUGCCCUAAGAGGCCUAAAACUAGGAAACAAUAAGAAGUCACAAACAUCCUCCUGAAGAAAUUUAUAAAAGGUCGGAGGGAACUGACACACAAGACUGAAGCAAAUUCAUGAUGUUAGAGUCAAUCUUGCUCACUUUGUCUUAGCCCAGGCUAUGUUUCCACCUGUUGCUUUCUAUGCCUGUAAAUUCCUUCAAACCAACUAAGUAUAAACCAAAUAUAAUGGCAAGCAGUAUUUCAGCCCUGUAGGCUUGGGGAUACUUGCUCUACUUACUAAUUUUGUGCUUUAGGUUACUUCAUGCAGAUGGUGAGAUAGAGCAAAAAGAUUUAUGUUUAGAUUUAUUGGAGGAAUCUAUUUUUCCUCUCCUGGCUGAGAUCAAUAGGGCUGUGUGUUGCAUUCACUCUAACCCAAAGCAUGCCCUGAGAAGGUAUGGAGAGGGCCCCAAUUGCAGCCCUUCAUUCUAACAGGUCACAACCGUAUUGUUCCUGAACAAUAAAGGUUUUAUAAACAAAAUCUGACUAGAAAGACGGUGAGUUGUUAUACUACAAAGAGCUUUGCUGAAAGCAAAACAAGGCAAGAGAAACAGUGUACAGCCUAGAAAAUGCUUAUAAACAUAAAGUUAAAUACCAGGUCUUUGAGCAAGACAUUGAUCGAUUGAUGUCAGAGGAACUGUGCUCCUUUACAACAGUGCUGAAUUUGUUCUAUUAGUGUUUAUACCACAUAGUGUAUAAGCUUUAUAGUUAAAGCGAAAAUAAACUUCUAGACAUAGAAGGAACUUAAAAACCUGAUUAUUACUGACUUCAAAGGGAUUGCUUGAAUGCUACAAGAUAGGCAUAUACUUAGGCUUCUUGUUGGGGACUUGACAGAGGCUGUGAAUGAUGCCCUUCUGCUUGCAUUGCCUAUCACAGUCAUCUCACGUUUCCUUAAGUUACUAUUUCCAAUGACCAUCUGUUGCCAUUCAUCAUAAAUCUAGCACCAUUCCUGGAAACUCCCCCUGGCAAGGCCUGUUACAGUUAUUCGAUUGAUAACCUGUAUGGAAGUGUUUUUGCAAAUACUGGAACUUGUUCCUUUGCAAUGUGACCAUCUUUUCAUUAUACGGCAUGCAGUAUUUGGUGUAACAGGUGCCCUGUGGGUUUGAGGGAACAUAUGUGAGUAAUGGGUGCCACUGCUGGCUGAGGGGCACAAAGAGAUGGUUCUCUGGGAAGUGCAGAGCACGACAGGAAGCCUCUUGAAUUCUGACAGCUGACAUGUUGGAGUUGUUCAGACAUGUAUAUGUAAUAGAAAUUAAAAAUAAUGCCACCAAGGUAAUCCUGUUAGUUUGUCCUUUUUACACAGAUAUUUAUAUGAUCUCUUUAUCUGUGUAGAUACUAAUCAGUAGGGGGAAAAUUAUCAGUGUUUCUGUUCAUCCAUUCCCUCUUCAGAGGUGUCCUGCAAAUGUAC